AUGGAACGCUGGCGGCAGGCCUAACACAUGAAAGUCGAGCGAGCGGCGGACGGGUGAGUAAUGUAUGGGGACUGCCCGAUAGAGGGGGAUAACUACUGGAAACGGUGGAUAAUACCGCAUACUAUCGGAUAACCCAUAUGGGAUUAGCUAGUAGGUGGGGUAAAGGCUCACCUAGGCGACGAUCUAUAGCUGGUCUGAGAGGAUGAUCCGCCACACUGUGACUGAGACACGGCCCCGACUCCUACGGAUGCAGCAGUGGUGUAUAUUGCACAAUGGUCUCAAGCCUGAUGCAGCCAUGCCGCGUGUAUGAAGAAGGCCUUAGGGUUGUAAAGUACUUUCAGCGGGGAGGCGUUCCCCGCAGAAGAAGCACCGGCUAACUCCGUGCCAGCAGCCGCGGUAAUAC
rnacentral:rRNA from 1 species